AGCACAAACAUGGAUAAUGUUAGGUACUUCACUAUGCCCUGCUAUUGUUAUCCAAUACAUUGUAAUGAUGAAAACGAGAGAGUAGAAAAAAUUGUUUCAAAUGUUGGUUCUAUCCAGGAAAAUAUUAUAUAUUUGUUAUAUUAUAUAGUAGCAUUUGGAUAUAUAGGUUCUGGGAGGUUCUAGCACACUGUAUGGCAUCACUCUGUUACCAAAGACAUUUCUGAAAGCCCAUGGAGGCAAGGACUAUUAAAUGAAGUCAAAAGAAGCUUUACCAGGGAGAAUAUUUGCAGAGUAUACAAUUCGGAAUUGCUGACCUCAGAUUAUUCUCUACAUAUCAUUUUCAUGCAAUUUGGAUUUUAAUAUAUAAUAAUGCUUCAAUCUCCAGUAAAUGAUAGAUGCUUGAAAUGUGAAAUGAUAUAUGAGAAUGCUGCCAUGUGUCCUUCAUCACCUUCUGCUUUGGUUACUUAAUUGGACUUUGAUGAGGAACAAUAAUGGAAGGUUAAAGAUGUAGCACUGCUGUAAGAUUCAAAUUGAGAGAGAGAGAGAGAGAGAGAGAUUCCAGAGCAUACCAUAUAUAUCAGCAGC